CUCACAUCUCCUGAUUUAUUGGAGCUGCUUUGCACUUUUUACACUGUUUAUUCACCAACACUUUAUUUAAUAAAAGUCCCAUCUAGUUUUUAUGAGGAAUGUGAUGUUUUAAUUUCUCUGUGAAUAACUGCAGUCUAAAGCAACAGCUGGAGUUGUAACAUCUGUCCUGAUAUUGAUCAUGAAGUAUUGAUCAGAAUACUUAUGGUCAGCAGUCAUCCCUGAAGUUUUACAUUAAAGUCUUUACUUGUGUUGUGAACUUUGGUAAGAAGCAGAAACGUUAGCGUUGCCAUGGAUACAUGAGUGUUAAAUUCUGUCCAUGUUUCCAUUUUGGGAAAUGAAGUCCAGUUUCAGAAUGUGGAGGAAUUUAGUCUCACAAUCACAGACAACAAAUAUUAUCUGAAAGUCGGGUUAUUGUUGUUUAUCAGCACAAUACAAAAAGAUUAAUGUUAGAAAUAUUCCAGUUAAGACUCUAGAAUAUCAUGAUUUAUGUAAAUUUACCUCAAUAAUAUGAAUGUUCAGGUUAAGAUUGUACAGUAGAUAUUUAUUAUGUAAGUUUAGCUGAUUAAAGUUUAUGACUCUGCACUAAAAUAUUAUUUAAAUUGACAUCAUUAUUAUAAUAUUUAGGGUCAGACCCUACAGUAUUGAGAUUAAGAAAUCAAAUAUUCUAUAAAAUGUAAAUACACUGAACUCAUUUGGAUAUAUUUAAGUGAGACUCUACAAUAUUAUUUGACACAAAUCUACCUAAAUCAAAAUUUUAAUAAUUUUCACGCCAAAUAUUUACUGGACUGAUUUAAAUAUUAAAAUCACUCCUUUCUAAUCCUCUGCUGUACGUUCAAACCUGAGGCCUUAAAUAGAGAAACACAGAAGUAUCUGAUUGAAGGAACUUCUGCAGAGUCCUGGUUCCAGAACAUGAUGAUAGAAUUAUAGACAAACUUUAACAAAAGCUGCCUGAGAGUUUACAGGUUUUUAUGUUGGAUUUCUUCAGUAAUUUAAUGAGAGUUAUCAGCAAUUAUCAAGUGUUCAUUUGAUGAACUUCAUUUCCUAAAACAUCCAGAAUUGGAGCUCAUAUCUUUGGCAGCUGUAAAGUUUCUGCUCCUUCAAAAUUCACAACACAAUGAAUGAAUUCAUAAAACACUCUCAAUGCUGGAGAGCGUUUGUGAUGCUGAAGUAGUGAUCAGUUUUUCUGUUUCUUCUCUGGAGAUGCACAAUGAGGGACGUCUGCAGAGACUGAGAAAGAGUCUCACCACAUCCUGACAUGAGGAAAAAGACUUUAUUGAAGACUACAAUGAGAAAAACUAUCAGACAGCAGACGGCUGCAUUCAAGUCUGUAGCUGCUGAAUUCAUGGAUGAAUCAUCUGGCACUAGAGAAGAAGACCAUCAAACAUCCACGUCAGCUGAUGGAGGUCCAAGAGUCUCACCAAACAACCUACAGAGUGAAGACCUCAAAUCUGAUUGGACGGCCUCCUAUUCAGCCACAUGUGUGAACAAAUGCCUCUAAGCUGAUUUGUUUUCUAAAAUAAAUCUAGUUUGAG
ensembl:lncRNA